GACGAACGCUGGCGGCGUGCUUAACACAUGCAAGUCGAACGGAAAGGCCCUGCUUUUGUGGGGUGCUCGAUUGGCGAACGGGUGAGUAACACGUGAGUAACCUGCCCUUGACUUUGGGAUAACUUCAGGAAACUGCGGCUAAUACCGGAUAGGAUCUCCUGCUGCAUGGUGGGGGUUGGAAAGUUUCGGCGGUUGGGGAUGGACUCGCGGCUUAUCAGCUUGUUGGUGGGGUAGUUGCUUACCAAGGCUUUGACGGAUAGCCGGCAUGAGAGGGUGACCGGGCACAAUGGGACUGCGAUACGGACCAGACUCCAACGGGAGGCAGCAGUGGGGAAUCUGGCACAAUGGGCGGAAGCCUGAUGCAGCAACGCCGCGUGCGGGAUGACGGCCUUCGGGUUGUAAACCGCUUUCGACUGUGACGAAGCGUGAGUGACGGUAAUGGGUAAAGAAGCACCGGCUAACUACGUG
rnacentral:rRNA from 1 species